rnacentral:rRNA from 1 species
UAGGGAAUCUUGGACAAUGGGCGCAAGCCUGAUCCAGCCAUGCCGCGUGAGUGAAGAAGGCCUUAGGGUUGUAAAGCUCUUUCGCCGGGGAAGAUAAUGACGGUAACCGGAGAAGAAGCCCCGGCUAACUUCGUGCCAGCAGCCGCGGUGAUACGAAGGGGGCUAGCGUUGUUCGGAAUUACUGGGCGUAAAGCGCACGUAGGCGGAUUGUUAAGUUAGAGGUGAAAGCCCAGGGCUCAACCCUGGAAUUGCCUUUGAUACUGGCAGUCUUGAGAUCGGUAGAGGUGAGUGGAAUUCCUAGUGUAGAGGUGAAAUUCGUAGAUAUUAGGAAGAACACCAGUGGCGAAGGCGGCUCACUGGACCGAUUCUGACGCUGAGGUGCGAAAGCGUGGGGAGCAAACAGGAUUAGAUACCCCCGUAGUCC